GGGGGUACAGCUCAGUGGUACAGCAUUCGACUGCCAAUUGAGAGGUACCCGAUUCAAACCAAGGUGCCCCUU